GCAAAAUAUCUCUCCCCUUCACUUGUGCAAGCUCUCUACAACCCAAUGUGGCUUCGACUUCUUUCAUCUCUAUUCUCUCUCUUUCAAUGGGUGGCAUUGCCUGCCCAGUCUUCAAUUUAAAAAGGAUGGUUUAUUUAUUUAUUUCCAUUUGAAUGAGAGCUUAAUAUUAAAGAAAAAAGAAAAACAUAAAGUCACAAGUUAUUGUUGUGUUUUUUGCUUGUGACUUCGAAUUUCGGUUCCUUGUUUGGAGAGGAAGGCCGAAUCCAAGACUGAAGUAUGCAGCACUUUCCUGUUAAAAGCAAUCUCCUUGAUUCAGACAACACCAAGUUCGGUUUUGGAGGUAAUGAGCAGCCCCUUUGCCCCAAGCCUCGUCGCCUUGGACCUGCUAUUCCUGACUGUCUCAAACCACUCCGAUGUACCAAACACAGACAACCCUAUACUGAUGGGAGAAGUGGAGUUCUAAACAUGAUUGCCGUGAAGUAGACAAGCGAGGGAAGAGAAUCAAGUUGCAAUGGGUGCUCGCCAUCAUGUUAUGGAGGGUCGCCACCAGGGAGAACAGGCAAUCCCUUGGUUCGUGACGUGAAUUUCAUUCAUCAAAUGGAGCUUUUCUCGCCCUUAAGCCGAGGCAAGUUUUCAGAUAAAUUUGGCAUCCCCUCUGCCUCCCCUGUUUGAGCAUUAAUGGUCCACAACAGGCAACAACAGCCUUGAAAUGGGGCAACUACUCUUUUUGUGGGAAUUUUUGGUAGACUUUUAUUUCCUUUUUCUAAUUUUAUUGUGGAUUUUUGUUUGUAAAUAUCAUGAUUCAAAUUUGAAACUAAAGUAUAUAUAUUUAUAUAGUUUAAAUAUAAA